UGCUAUUCCUAAGUAUGCAUUUAGAUUUUAUAAGGUAUCAGCAAACUUACACAUAAAUACUAUAUACUAAGUUUGACCCCACCCUGGAGUCAGAACCCUUACUCUGGGGAUCAUUAAAUUUACAAUUUUGGUAAAAGACUACCUGCUUUAUCCAUUUAGUUUCAAUUUAGUAUUAAUAGCACUAAAGAAGAUGUUAUUUAAGUGUUUUACACAUAAACACUAUAUACCAAGUUUGGCCCCACCCUGGGGUCAGAACCCCUACUCCGGGAAUCAUGCAAUUUACAAUUUUAGUAGAGGCCUUCCUGCUUUACAUCACUAUGCAUUUAGUUUUUCUCAAACAUGUGCAGUUCUAGAGAAGAAGAUUUUUGAAAAUUGGUCAAUUUUGGGCAGUUUUUGCCCCGCCCCAAAGGCCCCAGGGGUGCAGGAAUCCUGACAUUAAUAAUUAAAUUAUGUCCCCUGGCCCAAAAGAUGCUUCAUACCUAAUUUGAAAAGAAUUGGAACAAUAGUUAUCAAGAAGUUAAAUGUUCAAUAGUUAAUGUACAACAAAGGACAAUAGACGCAGACCAAUAGCACUGAGUGACUCAUCUGACCUAAAAUUGAAGUAUACAUAAUGUCAAAUGUUUUACUGUAAAUAAGAGACUUGUCUGCAUGUUAAGAUUGUAGUAUUCAAUUUUCAUUUUAUGUUAUUUAUCUUAAUCUUGCUUGACACGUCUAAAUGUUUACUUAUAAAGUACUUAGUUGUGUGAAUUACUACCCGUACAGAAAUUUACAUAAAGACGUAUGUAUCAUCAUAUUUAUCAUUAUCAUGCAUGUAGAAUUUAACGCAUUUACAUGUUUAAAUCUUGUAAUACGCAAAUGACACGUGAGUCACACCAUCGGGUGCGUCAGUGAGGAGAGGUACUUGAUAACAUUGCCGGUGUUUCACUAACUACAGCCAUUUAGGCAUACAGGAUUGCAUGCUUCCUGGAUCUCAUAAUUGAAAUUAACACAGCUUCCUUUCAGCUUCCUUUUAGCUGGACCCACUGAGGUCAAAAACCACAAAUUACAAUGACCAUGUCUGCCAUGAAUAUCGUCCUAACAAAUGCAGAGAGAGUGUCUACAAUGAAUAUCGUCCUAACAAAUGCAGAGAGAGUGUCUACAAUGAAUAUCGUCCUAACAAAUGCAGAGAGAGUGUCUACAAUGAAUAUCGUCCUAACAAAUGCAAAGAGAGUGUCUGCCGAUUUGCUGACUAAAUCGGUUGAUUAUGCUCCUAAAUAUCACCACAGAUCACACAGCCUCUUAUCUAGAUAUUUAUUCACCCCAUGGAGCUUUUAUCAUGUUUACCUAUAAAAUUUGUGGAGGAUGAGAAUCACUUUUGAGUUAACACUACUUAUCAAUAUAUACAGUACUAUUUACCUGAACUUUUACCACUUAUAUUACACAACCAGAUAAUAUCGUUUGUUUGUGCAUUGUUUUAUGUUCUAACUAAGAAUGUUUGACCCAUGUAGAGACUUCGCCAAUUUAAGGUGAAGAGCCACAAAUUUUGAUUUAUGCACAUUUUUACUGAAAAUCAACCUCAUUAUAUUCAAUGGAAACAAAUAUUCUAAAGCUCAGUCACUCUCAUUGAAAACAGGCAUAAUAUCACAACUUAAGAUUUAAUCUGAUCCAAAUAAUGAACUUGAUGUCAUUGGGAUAGCAGGCCUCAUAAAGGGCCCUGCUCUGAGACAUUUCAAGGUCCAUAACUCUUUCAAAAAUACAUCUUCACCACAGCCCAAACUUAAUCUUGAUUUGUAACCCAUUGAUAUAAGGUGGGGUCCUAAUAAAUGACAUACAAAAC